AGCAGCCGCGGUAAUUCCAGCUCCAAUAGCGUAUAUUAAAGUUGUUGCAGUUAAAAAGCUCGUAGUUGAAUUUCGGAGUUUGUCGGUUGGUCGGGCUUCACUGUCCGCACUGACCUGAUGGAUUCCUACCUUCUGAAUAACCAGCAUGCUAUUAAGUUAGUGCGUUGGGGAAGCAGAGCUAUUACCUUGAAAAAAUUAGAGUGCUUAAAGCAGGCUUAUGCUUGAAUAGAUUAGCAUGGAAUAAUAAAAUAGGACGGCAUGGUUCUAUUUUGUUGGUUUCUAGGAUCACCGUAAUGAUUAAUAGGGAUAGUUGGGGGCAUUAGUAUUCAAUUGUCAGAGGUGAAAUUCUUGGAUUUAUUGAAGACUAACUUCUGCGAAAGCAUUUGCCAAGGAUGUUUUCAUUAAUCAAGAACGAAAGUUAGG
rnacentral:rRNA from 1 species